rnacentral:rRNA from 1 species
UACGGAGGUGGCAAGCGUUGUUCGGAAUUACUGGGCGUAAAGGGCGCGUAGGCGGCAUGGCAAGUCAGAUGUGAAAGCCCCGGGCUUAAUCCGGGAAUUGCAUCUGAAACUGCUGUGCUUGAGUCCUGGAGGGGGUAGUGGAAUUCCCAGUGUAGCGGUGAAAUGCGUAGAUAUUGGGAGGAACACCGGUGGCGAAGGCGGCUACCUGGACAGUGACUGACGCUGAGGCGCGAAAGCUAGGGGAGCAAACGGG